rnacentral:lncRNA from 1 species
CACCCAUCAAAAACUCUUCCAAAUUUUCUGGUCGCAAAUGUUUUCUAGGAAAGACAAACUGCUUCCCAAACUCUAAUCUCGGGCUCUUCGAAAUGGUCGAAGUACCUGUGUCAAACACAACACGAUAUGGGUAUAGGAUAUGUGUCAAAUCCUUCAAAUUUCAACCAAACACUUUACCGCUUUUGUUUCUUUUUUUCUUUUUCUUCCUUCUUUUUUAUUCUUUUCCUUUUCUUUCUCGUUUCUACUCUCUAUAAACCUAACGUCGCCUCCGAGAGGACAGAGAAAGGUGACGGCGCUAGAUUUUCCCUCCUUUUUUCUUUUCUCCUUUCCUUUUCUUCUUGUUCGUUUUUUCCCUUCUUUCCCUCUCUAUAUUAGCGAUUUAGGAUUUUGUUUAUAUAAAAUGAAAAUUGAUUCCAUAAAGUGAUUCUUAGUGCUCCACUAAAUCUAAAUUGCAAUCAAAUUCCUCAUUUUCAAUUUUACAUAACAUUUAGUAAUUAACUUCCUAGAAUUGAAAACUAAACCCCAAAAUUCUAUUUUAUUCAUCUUAACCCCUUAUUCAAUACUCAUUUCCUUAUUUGUGAACAAUCGUUUUUGAUCUAUUCAAAAAGACAUCUUGGGCUAGUAAAAAAAUUGAAUCUUGAAAGACAUACUCACAUACUCGUGUCUGAAAUUUGGACACUUUUUAGCCAUAUCCCCAUAUUCUAUAUUUUAAAAAAUAAAAGAUCCGUCACUAAAAUACGUACCCAUACCCGUACCCAAGUCCAAGCAUCAUAGUUCUCAAAUACUGAACAUAGCUAAAGAAAAUUGGUAUGCCUUAAUAGAUGAUGGCAUGUUUGCUUGUAUAACAAUGAUGAGAAGAUCUCCCUCUGAAGGACAGAAAAUAUGUAGUUUAUAGUUGCAGCUUCUAAAUACUUAAGAUACUCAAAAUAAAACAUUUUUUUCUUUUGUUCUGAACAUAAAUCAAAAUAACAUCUAUGAUGUCUCACAUAAAUGCCCACCAUUAAACACAUAAAUUUCCAAUAAACUUGAGCCUCCGUUUAGCAAAAAUUUAUAAAUAAUUCAAUUUAUUAAUAGAUAGAAAUGAGUGAUGAAUAAGUGGAUAUAAUACUUAUGUGUCCACUGCAGUGUGUGGUUGAAAAUGAAAUUUAACUAUUUAUAAAUUUUUCCAAAUGGUGAGUUAACUAUAAUAAAUCAAUAAUAGCCUGCGUUGUGUUUGGCAGCAUGAAAUUUGGGCCUCGAAGUUGCAGUUAGUAGAACACUAUUUCAAAUUCUUAAUUGGGAACACCAAUUCCAGGCCGUUACAAGUUGCCAAACACAACCAGAGAAAACUACCUGCAAAGACUCAAAAGACUAUACAUUAAGGCGAUGCAGAAAUCGGAGUUACUUCUCUGUAAGGCUUUCAUUUUGAGAUUCAUUCGAUUAAAACACUAUAGUACAGCGACAGAGUCAAGGUUAGUGAUAAUGUAAAACAAAAUGGAACAAACAAAAGUACCUGAUAACUACUCAAUAAAAAGUCAAAUUCAAAAUUUAAAACAGAAACUAGGAUUAAACACUUGCUUAUAUUCAAAUUUCAUGUGGUUUGCAUAUUAUUUUGGUAAUCGCUGAUCUCUAUUAGAAUGAUGAUUGAGCAUACUUUUUAUUUUUAAUUUUUCCACAGGAAAUUUAAUCUUUAAACAAACAGAGACCUGAUAAGCUAAUUUUAUUUCCUUUAAUUGCAAAAGUUGAACCAGCUUGUUUCCGAUAGAAUCAUUAUGAAUAAAUAUAAAUUGAACGCGGAAAGGGGAGACGGAGAAAUCGAACCUUCAAUGGUCAUCGCCAUGUCUGCAAAUUGAAUGGACUAUUGAUUAUUAAAAGUCGACGCUCAAAUCUGAACGAAUUUGACUGAAUUGUUACUUCAAACAGGGGAAGGGGUUGAUGAAAGAGGAAAGAGGAAAGAGCAGCCGCGUUACAACCAAAUUUUGAUCAUUAG